GGGUGUGGCUACUGGGAGGUGAGUUUCACUGGACUUGUAGCUGUGAUGCCCAGAGCACCAAAAUCUCUGCAAACGAUGCUCCUACGCCCAUCUGGGGAACAACAGGGAGAGUGCCUGAACCUAUUCUUUGGGACCAGAUGGGGGCGGAGGGGAACGGACAUCAUUCCUACUACCAAUUAGUCCUGGUAAGUACCUAGAGCCUCCUGUGAUGAUGAUGAGAACAAGAGCCGGCAUUUAUUGAUUUCUCACUGUGCCCAACGCCGUUCAAAGCACUUUGCGUGGAUUAACCCGUGUAAUCCUCACAAUCCUAUGAGGUAGGUGCCAUGAUUAUCUCCACCUAAUAGAGGAGGGUGCUGCGGGGGGAAAGCAGUUUAUGUCUCUAGCUUUAAAUGGCAGCACUAGGAUUCGAACCCACCGCCAGCUCCUCGGCUUCAAAGAUGCUAGUCUUGUCAAGAAUCCAAAAUUCCUUCCCGCAUCCAUGACCUUGGGGACCGUCCCUUCGGCAGCAGGUCACAUUUAGACGCUUAUGAUGUUCGUUGACCCAACUUUUUGAUUCGCACAAAUGGUUAACAGAAAGGCGAUUACAGAAGCUCUCACCGGUCGCGUUAGGCAGUGAAUCUCAGGCUGGGUCCUUUUCCCUUGGGCUGUCUGGCCGUCUACAGUCUCCCGGGACUUGAAUGGAGUUGCUACCCAGAGCUGGGACCCCAGUGCCAGGGCCCCUCCUCAAUCAAUCAAAAUGUUUUUCCGAGGACUUCCUACAUGCCCCGCCCCAGAGCCAGCACAGACAGAUAGACCUUCACUCUGGAAGCUCUCGGCCCCCACAGCCCUGACUCCCACUUGGAGAAACACGAUUAAUUGGAGGAAAUACCAACCUGGAAGUAAUUGGAGGGGAUGUUUUAAAAAGAUUCAAACUACACCACCUUUGUGGUCCCUUCCAACCCUACCCCCAUCCUGCUGAUUUCUCUCUAAGGCAAGCAUUUAUUAGUUUGAUUUCAACACACACACUUGUACCUGUAAUUACUAUAUAAUGUCUGUUUACUUUUUUUAAAUGAAAAUGAAUUUAAAUUAA